GUUAGGAAUAUUGGACAAUGGGCGAAAGCCUGAUCCAGCCAUGCCGCGUGAACGAUGAAGGCCUUCGGGUUGUAAAGUUCUUUAGCCGAUGAUUAUAAUGACUGUAGUCGGGAAAUAAGCUCCGGCUAACUUGGUGCCAGCAGCCGCGGUAAUACGCAGGGGGCGAGCGUUAUUCGGAAUCACUGGGCGUAAUGCGUGCGUAGGCGGUUUUGUAAGUUAGGAGUGAAAGUCUAGGGCUCAACCUUGGAAUUGCUGUUAAAACUGCGAGGCUUGAAUCUCGGAGAGGAUAGCGGAAUUUCUAGUGUAGCAGUGAAAUGCGUAGAUAUUGGAAGGAACACCAGUGGCGUAAGCGGCUAUCUGGACGAGUAUUGACGCUGAGGCACGAAAGCGUGGGGAUCAAACAGGAUUAGAAACCCCUGUAGUCC
rnacentral:rRNA from 1 species